UAUUUAUUUCCGUGUUUUUUUUUCAUUUUAUCAAAAAUAAUGUGGAGAGAUACCAUUUUAGACAAAAGUAAAUUUUAUAAAUUUUUACUGAUGAAACGUAUUUUCAUCUGAAAGGUCUUGAAUGAUUUCCUCUCGUUGGCUUGAAUUUUUUAAAUAUGCAAUUUUGUACUUAUUUGAGCUGUAACCCGCAUUCAGCUAUCACCGGGGUAAGGCUUUGUUGGAAUGGAAAUCUGCCAAUGGUAUUCCAUAAACACAAUAAUUUGCCAUGGCUGAUAAGAAAAUGAUAUGAUAUUUGAGUUUAUAUUCAUCCAAUUUGAUUAUCACCCUUGAUAUUUAAAUCAGAAUAAUUUCGGAUACCAUAUUGAUGAGAAUAUAAAAUGUAUGAUUUCCUCUCGUCCUGAUUAAACUAAUAUAUGCUAGUUUAUGUGAUGGAGUGCUGUUAGGUGUGCUUGCUUGUGAUGGAAUAAACAAAAAUAUGUCAUUUACUAUUAUAUUAUCAAUUAUUAUAUAAACAAUUGAAUAAAAUUAUUAAAUUAAAAUUUGUUUAGUUGAUAUAAAUUUAAUAGUAAAAUAAUUGGCAUUAUAAUAUGAUGAAACAAAUUUUAUGCUAAUAUUUAUC